rnacentral:tRNA from 1 species
CCGCCACUAGCUCAGUGGAUAGAGCGCAGCCCUCCGGAGGCUGAGGUCAGAGGUUCGAAUCCUCUGUGGCGGGCCA